rnacentral:rRNA from 1 species
AGUCGAGGGGCAGCACGGUAGCAAUACUGGUGGCGACCGGCAAACGGGUGCGGAACACGUACGCAACCUUCCUUUAAGAGAUGGAUAGCCCGAAGAAAUUCGGAUUAAUACAUCGUAAGAUUGUGGGAUGGCAUCAUCCAGCAAUUAAAGAUUUAUUUCGCUUAAAGAUGGGCGUGCGCCUGAUUAGGUAGUUGGUGAGGUAACGGCUCACCAAGCCGACGAUCAGUAACUGGCGUGAGAGCGCGACCAGUCACACGGGCACUGAGACACGGGCCCGACUCCUACGGGAGGCAGCAGUAAGGAAUAUUGGUCAAUGGACGCAAGUCUGAACCAGCCAUGCCGCGUGAAGGAUGAAAGCCCUCUGGGUUGUAAACUUCUUUUAUCUGGGAAGAAACCACUUUUUUCUAAGAGUGUUAACGGUACCAGAGGAAUAAGCACCGGCUAACUCCGUGCCAGCAGCCGCGGUAAUACGGAGGGUGCAAGCGUUAUCCGGAUUCACUGGGUUUAAAGGGUGCGUAGGCGGAUUAUUAAGUCCGUGGCGAAAUCUCCAAGCUUAACUUGGAAACUGCCAUGGAUACUAUUAGUCUUGAAUGUUGUGGAGGUUAGCGGAAUAUGUCAUGUAGCGGUGAAAUGCAUAGAUAUGACAUAGAACACCAAUUGCGAAGGCAGCUGGCUACACAAAUAUUGACGCUGAGGCACGAAAGCGUGGGGAUCAAACAGGAUUAGAUACCCUGGUAGUCCACGCCCUAAACGAUGAUUACUCGACAUUUGCGAUACACAGCAAGUGUCUGAGCGAAAGCAUUAAGUAAUCCACCUGGGAAAGUACGACCGCAAGGUUGAAACUCAAAGGAAUUGACG